CCAGUUCUGCCAAUAACUUCAACUGGUUCAUUCGCUGAUUCAUUUGAAAGACAACCACUGAUGGCUAUCAUGUGCCUGGUGAUGUUCGAGGCAGUAGGGAAAUAGGGCAGCAUAAGAUUAAAUGUCUGUUCUCGAGCAGGGGUGGGGGUGCGAACAGAAGAGAAACAAUGGGAAAAGUCACGCGUUCAUCUUCAUCAUCGUCACGGUCACCGUCAUCCUCACGAUCAGCACUGUUUCCCAGGCUGCUGCGGGAGGGCAACACAGGAUGUCGGAGCCAGGACUGAAGGCUCAGCAGCGGAGGUGACACCCGAGACUUAAAGAAGGGACUGUGCUUUCCCUUCCUGGUGGCGGGGAAGUCAUCCAAAGCAGACUGAACGCAUGGGCAAGGCAGGGAGGUAAGGCGACACAGAGCACAGCACCAGGGCCCUGUAAACAAUCUGGAAGGCCGGACUAUGGAGUCCAGGAGAGGUGUGGCUGGAAGGGGCCGCACAGCAACCCCCUCCCCACCCCCGCCCCCUUCUCACGCCACCCUUCUGCUACCAGCUCUUUAAGCCCUUUCUUGUUUGCCCCGCCCCCACUUCCUGUUUCCUGUCUGGGUGCCAAUCAACGACCACGCUCCCCAGGAGGCGUGAGCAUGUGACCCACGUGGCUACCGUGAUUGGUGCAGGGGUAGGCACAUGGUUCAAGCCAGGCCAAUCAGAGCCCUUCUCUGGGGUUUAUGCCUGGAUGCUGGGAGGGGAAGGGUUCUGUUUCCUACGGGCCGCUGAAAACCUGGUGCUGCCUUUGGCCGUGGCCUCUCCAUCUGUCUGGCCAUUUGGAAGAAAGGAUGAGCGUGGGCUUCUGACCUUGUGUGAUGGGCACAGACCGGGGUCUCCUACUCAGAAGUCUAAGUAUUGCCGCUGCUGACAGGCCGGAGGGCCAGCGCGGCCUCCCCUUGCGCUCACGUGCACCCCGCGCCAUCUGUCUUCGGGUCUCCCAGGAGGCAACGGAGGACCUUUGCGUCACUGCCCUGCCUCGUGCUGUGCCCCCUCCCACCACCACUAAUAGACUGAAACAAUUAGGUGGAAAGAAGAGACUUAUGGCCGUCGUUUGGUGCCUUACUGGUCCCUUGUCCAGAUGCAGGCUGCACGGGACUGCAUGGGCUUCCCGACGUCCUUGCACAAGGCAGAUCUUUCCCAAGACCCAAGGCGGCUCCUGGCUCCCGCUGGUGCACCCAACCCUGUCCUUCCUGGUUCACUCCUACAGAACUCACUGCUCCCAGGGGAGGCCUCCCUCCACACUGAGCUCCUCUCCCCCUGCCCCGGACUCCUUGGGGUUCUCG